UAACAAGGAUUCCCCUAGUAACUGCGAGUGAAGCGGGAAAAGCUCAAAUUUAAAAUCUGGCGGUCUUUGGCCGUCCGAGUUGUAGUCUGGAGAAGUGUUUUCCGUGCUGGACCGUGUACAAGUCUCUUGGAACAGAGCGUCAUAGAGGGUGAGAAUCCCGUCUUUGACACGGACUACCAGUGCUUUGUGAUGCGCUCUCAAAGAGUCGAGUUGUUUGGGAAUGCAGCUCAAAAUGGGUGGUAAAUUCCAUCUAAAGCUAAAUAUUGGCGAGAGACCGAUAGCGAACAAGUACCGUGAGGGAAAGAUGAAAAGCACUUUGGAAAGAGAGUUAAACAGUACGUGAAAUUGCUGAAAGGGAAACGCUUGAAGUCAGUCGCGUUGAUCAGAACUCAGCCUUGCUUUUGCUUGGUGCAUUUUCUGGUUGACGGGCCAGCAUCGAUUUUGACCAUCGGAAAAAGGCUAGGGGAAUGUGGCACCUUCGGGUGUGUUAUAGCCCUUAGUCACAUACGGUGGUUGGGAUCGAGGACCGCAGCACGCCUUUAUGGCCGGGGUUCGCCCACGUUCGUGCUUAGGAUGCUGGCGUAAUGGCUUUAAACGAC
rnacentral:rRNA from 1 species